GAGACUCUGUGCGCGUGCAUAUCAAUAAGCGGAGGAAAAGAAACUAACAAGGAUUCCCUUAGUAACGGCGAGUGAAGCGGGAAGAGCUCAAAUUUGAAAUCUUCAAGGUUUUACCUUGACGAAUUGUAGUUUAAAGAAGUGUUUUCUGUUGGAGUUUUGGUAAAAGUUCUUUGGAAUAGGACAUCACAGAGGGUGAGAAUCCCGUAUUUGACCAUUAUUUCCAGCUGUGUGAUACACUUUCAAAGAGUCGGAUUGUUUGGGAAUGCAGUCCAAAAUGGGUGGUAAAUUUCAUCUAAAGCUAAAUAUUGGCGAGAGACCGAUAGCGAACAAGUACCGUGAGGGAAAGAUGAAAAGAACUUUGAAAAGAGAGUUAAACAGUACGUGAAAUUGUCAAAAGGGAAGCGUUUGACACCAGUGUUGUUUUCUCGAAAAUCAAUUAAAAAUGAUGGGAUUUUGUGUUGUAUUGACUUUAUCAGCUUUCUGCACUUUCUUUUCUAGUAUUAUUUAAUGCACUUUUCAGUUAACAAGUCAACAUCAAUUUCUUUUGUUGUAAAAGGGUAAUAGGAAGGUGGCUUACUCUUCGGCGUAAGUGUUUAUAGCCUUUGACCUCUACAAUCGGAGAGAUUGAGGACAGCAGCGUAGACUCUUCGGGGUUAGAUACAUUUGUGCUAAGCUAUAGCUUUUUAUAGACAACUUGUUGACUAUAUUUAGUCUUGUGGCUUACUCGCUUAUGCUAUUUUACCUACGCUUAGGAUGUUGACGAGACUGUCGAUCUCAUCUAUACAUGACUCUGUGCAUAUCCUAAGCGUAGGUAUCUGGAUCUUUAAUGCGCUUUUCCUCCGCUUAUUGAUAUGCACAGAGUCAUGUAUAGAUGAGAUCGACAGUCUCGUCAACAUCCUAAGCGUAGGUAAUAGCCCUCUUUUCCUCCGCUUAUUGAUAUGCACAGAGUCAUGUAUAGACUAUCAUCGAGCACGCGCGUGUGGCAUAUCAAUAAGCGGAGGAAAAGGAGUAUACCUACGCUUAGGAUGUUGACGAUCAGCUGAGCGCG
rnacentral:rRNA from 1 species